rnacentral:rRNA from 1 species
GAGUUUGAUCAUGGCUCAGAUUGAACGCUGGCGGCAGGCCUAACACAUGCAAGUCGAACGGUAACAGGAAACAGCUUGCUGUUUCGCUGACGAGUGGCGGACGGGUGAGUAAUGUCUGGGAAACUGCCUGAUGGAGGGGGAUAACUACUGGAAACGGUAGCUAAUACCGCAUAACGUCGCAAGACCAAAGAGGGGGACCUUCGGGCCUCUUGCCAUCAGAUGUGCCCAGAUGGGAUUAGCUAGUAGGUGGGGUAACGGCUCACCUAGGCGACGAUCCCUAGCUGGUCUGAGAGGAUGACCAGCCACACUGGAACUGAGACACGGUCCAGACUCCUACGGGAGGCAGCAGUGGGGAAUAUUGCACAAUGGGCGCAAGCCUGAUGCAGCCAUGCCGCGUGUAUGAAGAAGGCCUUCGGGUUGUAAAGUACUUUCAGCGGGGAGGAAGGGAGUAAAGUUAAUACCUUUGCUCAUUGACGUUACCCGCAGAAGAAGCACCGGCUAACUCCGUGCCAGCAGCCGCGGUAAUACGGAGGGUGCAAGCGUUAAUCGGAAUUACUGGGCGUAAAGCGCACGCAGGCGGUUUGUUAAGUCAGAUGUGAAAUCCCCGGGCUCAACCUGGGAACUGCAUCUGAUACUGGCAAGCUUGAGUCUCGUAGAGGGGGGUAGAAUUCCAGGUGUAGCGGUGAAAUGCGUAGAGAUCUGGAGGAAUACCGGUGGCGAAGGCGGCCCCCUGGACGAAGACUGACGCUCAGGUGCGAAAGCGUGGGGAGCAAACAGGAUUAGAUACCCUGGUAGUCCACGCCGUAAACGAUGUCGACUUGGAGGUUGUUCCCUUGAGGCGUGGCUUCCGGAGCUAACGCGUUAAGUCGACCGCCUGGGGAGUACGGCCGCAAGGUUAAACUCAAAUGAAUUGACGGGGGCCCGCACAAGCGGUGGAGCAUGUGGUUCAAUUCGAUGCAACGCGAAGAACCUUACCUGGUCUUGACAUCCACGGAAGUUUUCAGAGAUGAGAAUGUGCCUUCGGGAACCGUGAGACAGGUGCUGCAUGGCUGUCGUCAGCUCGUGUUGUGAAAUGUUGGGUUAAGUCCCGCAACGAGCGCAACCCUUAUCCUUUGUUGCCAGCGGUCCGGCCGGGAACUCAAAGGAGACUGCCAGUGAUAAACUGGAGGAAGGUGGGGAUGACGUCAAGUCAUCAUGGCCCUUACGACCAGGGCUACACACGUGCUACAAUGGCGCAUACAAAGAGAAGCGACCUCGCGAGAGCAAGCGGACCUCAUAAAGUGCGUCGUAGUCCGGAUUGGAGUCUGCAACUCGACUCCAUGAAGUCGGAAUCGCUAGUAAUCGUGGAUCAGAAUGCCACGGUGAAUACGUUCCCGGGCCUUGUACACACCGCCCGUCACACCAUGGGAGUGGGUUGCAAAAGAAGUAGGUAGCUUAACCUUCGGGAGGGCGCUUACCACUUUGUGAUUCAUGACUGGGGUGAAGUCGUAACAAGGUAACCGUAGGGGAACCUGCGGUUG